AGAGCGAACGCUGGCGGCAGGCUUAACACAUGCAAGUCGAGCGGGCGUAGCAAUACGUCAGCGGCAGACGGGUGAGUAACGCGUGGGAACGUACCUUUUGGUUCGGAACAACCCAGGGAAACUUGGGCUAAUACCGGAUAAGCCCUUACGGGGAAAGAUUUAUCGCCGAAAGAUCGGCCCGCGUCUGAUUAGCUAGUUGGUGAGGUAACGGCUCACCAAGGCGACGAUCGGUAGCUGGUCUGAGAGGAUGACCAGCCUCACUGGGACUGAGACACGGCCCAGACUCCUACGGGAGGCAGCAGUGGGAAUAUUGGACAAUGGGCGCAAGCCUGAUCCAGCCAUGCCGCGUGGAUGAUGAAGGCCUUAGGUUGUAAAGUCGUUUUAACGGGAAGAGUAAUGACGGUACCGUAGAAUAAGCCCGGCUAACUUCGUGCCAGCAGCCGC
rnacentral:rRNA from 1 species